GUUUGAUCAUGGCUCAGGAUGAACGCUGGCGGCGUGCUUAACACAUGCAAGUCGAACGAUGACUUCUGUGCUUGCACAGAAUGAUUAGUGGCGAACGGGUGAGUAACACGUGAGUAACCUGCCCUUAACUUCGGGAUAAGCCUGGGAAACCGGGUCUAAUACCGGAUACGACCUCCUGGCGCAUGCCAUGGUGGUGGAAAGCUUUAGCGGUUUUGGAUGGACUCGCGGCCUAUCAGCUUGUUGGUUGGGGUAAUGGCCCACCAAGGCGACGACGGGUAGCCGGCCUGAGAGGGUGACCGGCCACACUGGGACUGAGACACGGCCCAGACUCCUACGGGAGGCAGCAGUGGGGAAUAUUGCACAAUGGGCGAAAGCCUGAUGCAGCGACGCCGCGUGAGGGAUGACGGCCUUCGGGUUGUAAACCUCUUU
rnacentral:rRNA from 1 species